rnacentral:rRNA from 1 species
GAUGAACGCUAGCUACAGGCCUAACACAUGCAAGUCGAGGGGAAACGACAGUAAAGCUUGCUUUAUUGGGCGUCGACCGGCGCACGGGUGCGUAACGCGUAUCCAACCUGCCCCCAACUCCGGAAUAGUCCCCCGAAAGGGGGGUUAACGCCGGAUGCUGCAAUUUUUCCGCAUGGUGAAAUUGCGAAAUGAAAAAGGUUGGGGCUGGGGAUGCGUCCCAUUAGGUAGUAGGCGGGGUAACGGCCCACCAAGGCGACGAUCAGUAGGGGUUCUGAGAGGAAGGUCCCCCCACAUUGGAACUGAGACACGGUCCAAAACUCCUACGGGAGGCAGCAGUGAGGAAUAUUGGUCAAUGGGCGAGAGCCUGAACCAGCCAAGUAGCGUGCAGGAAGACGGCCCUAUGGGUUGUAAACUGCUUUUAUAAGGGAAUAAAGUGAGAGUCGUGACUCUUUUUGCAUGUACCUUAUGAAUAAGGACCGGCUAAUUCCGUG